rnacentral:rRNA from 1 species
AGAGGUUUGAUCCUGGCUCAGAACGAACGCUGGCGGCAGGCUUAACACAUGCAAGUCGAACGUGAAGCAGGAGCUUGCUCCUGUGGAAAGUGGCAGACGGGUGAGUAACGCGUGGGAAUUUACCCAGUGGUUCGGAAUAACUUCAGGAAACCGGAGCUAAUACCGAAUACGCCCUUCGGGGGAAAGAUUUAUCGCCAUUGGAUGAGCCCGCGUCGGAUUAGCUUGUUGGUGAGGUAAAAGCUCACCAAGGCGACGAUCCGUAGCUGGUCUGAGAGGAUGAUCAGCCACACUGGGACUGAGACACGGCCCAGACUCCUACGGGAGGCAGCAGUGGGGAAUAUUGCGCAAUGGAGGAAACUCUGACGCAGCCAUGCCGCGUGAGUGAAGAAGGCCUUAGGGUUGUAAAACUCUUUCGCUAGGGAAGAUAAUGACGGUACCUAGUAAAGAAGCCCCGGCCAACUCCGUGCCAGCAGCCGCGGUAAUACGGAGGGGGCUAGCGUUGUUCGGAAUUACUGGGCGUAAAGCGCGCGUAGGCGGGCUGGUUAGUUGGGGGUGAAAUCCCGAGGCUCAACCUCGGAACUGCCCUCAAUACUGCCAGUCUUGAGUUCGAGAGAGGUAAGUGGAAUUCCUAGUGUAGAGGUGAAAUUCGUAGAUAUUAGGAAGAACACCAGUGGCGAAGGCGGCUUACUGGCUCGAUAC